rnacentral:lncRNA from 12 species
CUUGGAUGUGAGGCUACAAUGAGCUUCUUAACCAUUUUUUUUCAGAAGUAGAUUUACUGAUCAUGGGCAGUCCUGACAACUGCAGAUCUCUUUCGCAAAGGCAGACCUUGCCCUGUGAGAUUGUCAUGAGGAGGAGCUAGCAGGCUAGCUCAGAAAAGAGAGAGAAUGAAAGUUAUCUUACCAGAGGCUCCUCCACAGGAUGACAUGAGCCACAAUAAUCUGCUGCCUGGAUACAAAGCCAAGUACAGAGUCACCGGCAGGAUGUGAUAAAACACUUGAUACCUCUCACUUUCAGACUCUGCUUAUGCUGUCAUGAUCUUGAUUACAUAGAAAUGGACAACAUGGAAGCUGGCAAUGCUGUUUGGAUAUAGGGCACAGGGGCCUUGGGCUGCUAGAGAAAGAAGGACCCA